rnacentral:ncRNA from 1 species
UAUAGGGGCAAAGCAGUCGAAAGACUGUGACGCAAAGCUAUAGGGCCUGUGGGAUGGCAGCCAGUUGC